rnacentral:rRNA from 1 species
UUCCUUGAACCGCAUGGUUCAAGGAUGAAAGACGGUUUCGGCUGUCACUUACAGAUGGACCCGCGGCGCAUUAGCUAGUUGGUGGGGUAAUGGCUCACCAAGGCGACGAUGCGUAGCCGACCUGAGAGGGUGAUCGGCCACACUGGGACUGAGACACGGCCCAGACUCCUACGGGAGGCAGCAGUAGGGAAUCUUCCGCAAUGGACGAAAGUCUGACGGAGCAACGCCGCGUGAGUGAUGAAGGUUUUCGGAUCGUAAAGCUCUGUUGUUAGGGAAGAACAAGUGCGAGAGUAACUGCUCGCACCUUGACGGUACCUAACCAGAAAGCCACGGCUAACUACGUGCCAGCAGCCGCGGUAAUACGUAGGUGGCAAGCGUUGUCCGGAAUUAUUGGGCGUAAAGGGCUCGCAGGCGGUUUCUUAAGUCUGAUGUGAAAGCCCCCGGCUCAACCGGGGAGGGUCAUUGGAAAACUGGGAAACUUGAGUGCAGAGGAGGAGAGUGAAUUUCCACGUGUAGCGGUGAAAUGCGUAGAGAUGGUGGAGGAACACCAGUGGCGAAGGCGACUCUCUGGUCUGUAACUGACCGCU